ACAAACUUGGUCAUUUAGAGGAAGUAAAAGUCGUAACAAGGUUUCCGUAGGUGAACCUGCGGAAGGAUCAUUCAUAAUAGAGUGUUUUAUGGCACUCUAAAAAAAAUCCAUAUCCACCUUGUGUGAAAUGUUAAUCCUUGUCUUUCAUUAGAUAAAGGUUUUUUAUAUCAACUCUUAUUAUUUUUUUUUUUUAAUUUUGUCUGUAAAACGUUAUGAAUUUAUUACUUAAUUCAAAACACAACUUUCAACAACGGAUCUCUUGGCUCUCGCAUCGAUGAAGAACGCAGC
rnacentral:misc_RNA from 1 species